rfam:Beggiatoa alba B18LD genomic scaffold Begalscaffold_2, whole genome shotgun sequence.
GCCUUGGUAGCUCAGUGGAUAGAGCACUCCCCUCCUAAGGGAGUGGUCGCGGGUUCGACUCCCGCUCAGGGCA